AAUUGGUUAUCCAUAUGCAGGGACCAAAAUCCUCAGAAUGUUCCUUCUAUAGCUAGUUGCCCAUGCAUAAGCUAAAUAUCAAAAUAAUCUUAUUUACUUGUAUUAUCCAUCAUACCCUAUAAUUAAAUCUAAACUAAAUUAUUUUAGUCAAUAAACUAAUAUCGUCUGAUAAAUUUUAAUGUUACUAUUGUAUGCAAUAAUACUAAAAGAACUAUAU
rnacentral:lncRNA from 1 species